AUUGAACGCUGGCGGAAUGCUUUACACAUGCAAGUCGAACGGCAGCACGGACUUCGGUCUGGUGGCGAGUGGCGAACGGGUGAGUAAUGUAUCGGAACGUGCCCAGUCGUGGGGGAUAACGUAGUGAAAAUUACGCUAAUACCGCAUACGAUCUAUGGAUGAAAGCGGGGGAUCGCAAGACCUCGCGCGAUUGGAGCGGCCGAUAUCAGAUUAGGUAGUUGGUGGGGUAAAGGCCCACCAAGCCAACGAUCUGUAGCUGGUCUGAGAGGACGACCGGCCCACCGGAAACUGGGAAACGGUCCAGACUCCUAAGGGAGCAAGCGUUGGGGAAUUUUGGACAAUGGGCGAAAGCCUGAUCCAGCCUUUCCGCGUGCAGGAUGAGGGCCCGCGGGUUGUAAACUGCUUUUGUACAGAACGAAAAGGUUUCUACUAAUACUAGGAGCUCAUGAGGGUACUGUAAGAAUAAGCACCGGCUAACUACGUGCCAGCAGCCGCCGUAA
rnacentral:rRNA from 1 species